UGAACGCUAGCUACAGGCUUAACACAUGCAAGUCGUGGGGCAGCAUAUAGAUAGCUUGCUAUUAUGAUGGCGACCGGCGCACGGGUGAGUAACGCGUAUCCAACCUUCCCCAUAGUAGGGUAUAGCCCGGCGAAAGUCGGAUUAAUCCCCUAUGUUGUUUGAAGCGGACAUCUAAUUCAAACCAAAGAUUCAUCGCUAUGGGAUGGGGAUGCGUCUGAUUAGGUUGCAGGCGGGGUAACGGCCCACCUGGCCGACGAUCAGUAGGGGUUCUGAGAGGAAGGUCCCCCACACUGGUACUGAGACACGGACCAGACUCCUACGGGAGGCAGCAGUGAGGAAUAUUGGUCAAUGGGCGCGAGCCUGAACCAGCCAAGUAGCGUGCAGGAUGACGGCCCUACGGGUUGUAAACUGCUUUUAUGCGGGGAUAAAGUGCGGCACGUGUGCCGUUUUGCAGGUACCGCAUGAAUAAGGACCGGCUAAUUCCGUGCCAGCCGCCGC
rnacentral:rRNA from 1 species